CAAUCAUCAUGUGGUCUUCUUCCCACUGUACAUGAAGAACUCUUGAAGACAGGAGCUGCAGAGCUGGCCCCACAGCACCAGAGAUGUCACAGAAGAGCAGAAUUCCAGCCCUCCAUGGCACAUGGGCUACAUCUGCACUAUUUUGUUCAGAGCUCCAAGAAGCAGGUGCAUUGGGAUUUUCACCAAAGAACGAAAGGAAUAAACCCAUCUCCCUAUUUUUAACCCCCCAGAAGAAGCCUUAUUCUCUCCUUUCUGGAAUGUCAGGACCAGUGUCAUUUUGUCCAGGCUGCAUUGACCUCUUUGCUGGACCCCGGGCAUAGGGAGCCCUUGCUGCUUCUCCACCCACCAGUGCUGAGCUCCGGGGGUGUUUGCCUUGCAGGUCCAAGGUGAGAAUGUAAACACUGCAAUUCCUCUGAAAACUGGCUGGAACCUCCUCCAGGGAGGAAGGGUUGCUCAUGGGCUGGCCAGGCUCCCAAACAUCAUACACAGCAACCCGGAGCUCCAACUUAACACAGCUUGGGGCAGGUCCUCAAAUGACCUUCCGUUUCUUGUCUGCCCAUCUGAGAGGACCAUUCCAUUCCAAACAACAUUCCUUUGAUAAAAGUGGUUACACACUGUAAACAUCAAUGAGCCAGGAACAUUCUCCGGUGCAACAGGAUUCUGAUAAAGCAGUCCUAUUUUGCAAAACCUUCCAGUGUGAAACAUCCUCCCCACAGCAAGCAGGGAAAUUCCUGGGAUGCCACAACAUUGGGCAGAGUGUCCAGGGCCCCAGGGAAGGAGCAGAAAGUCUAGAGGUGGAGCUCCCAUUGUGGGCAGAGGGACCUGAGUUUUCAAUCAUCUGUUCAUCAGUCACUCACUCAACAAAUAUUUGCUGAACAUGUCCCAAGCGCCAGGCUCUGAUGGAGUCACUGGAAAUGCAGUGUUUCCACAUGACUGCAAAGCUCCCCUGACUUUCAAAAAGCAGCAAUGAUUUCCUCUCCCCACACAGUCCAGGUUGACAGUCGGGUGCAAUAUCCACACGCCUCUCUACCUCACUCCCUCUGUGAGUCUGGAUGUGUUCUUCUUCCUCUCCAGCCCCCUGGGCCCUCAUUCUGUUGGCUUUUCUGCUGUCACUCUCUGUUCGCAGGUAUCUCUUCUUGAGUCUGUUUCUGGGUCUCUCAGUCUCUAUUCUUCAAGUCUCCCUUUGUGUCACCAAGUGCUUCCCAGCCUAGCCACUCCUCUACCUCUCCAUCAGUCUGCCUUACUUCCAAUCAAUUCAUCCCCAUUUUUUUCUCCUUCCCUCUUCUGUUUCUUCUCCUUAAGUGACUGUUGAUACAGAACUAGAUACAUUUUUCUUAGGUUGGUGGAAUAGACUUUCACAUUCUCUGGUGUUUAGUUCUAAAAUUGAUUGAAAAAUGUUUGUAUUCUUUAGUGUUGUCUGAAUUUCUUAUAAGAGUAUGUGUAAUUCUUUAAAACUGUUUAUUAAAAUACGAUGCCUAUAU
rnacentral:lncRNA from 1 species